UACGAAGGUGGCAAGCGUUGUUCGGAUUUACUGGGCGUACAGGGCGCGUAGGCGGUUGGAUAAGCCCUCCGUGAAAUCUCCAGGCUUAACCUGGAAAGUGCAGAGGGGACUGUUCAGCUAGAGGAUGGGAGAGGAGCGCGGAAUUCCCGGUGUAGCGGUGAAAUGCGUAGAUAUCUGGAGGAAUACCGGUGGCGAAGGCGGCAUCCUGGACCGACAUUGACGCUGAGGAGCGAAAGCCAGGGGAGCAAACGGG
rnacentral:rRNA from 1 species